UCCCGGGCCUUGUACACACCGCCCGUCACACCAUGGGAGUGGGUUGCAAAAGAAGUAGCUAGUCUAACCUUCGGGAGGACGGUUACCACUUUGUGAUUCAUGACUGGGGUGAAGUCGUAACAAGGUAACCCUAGGGGAACCUGGGGUUGGAUCACCUCCUU
rnacentral:rRNA from 14 species